rnacentral:rRNA from 1 species
GACGAACGCUGGCGGCGUGCUUAACACAUGCAAGUCGAGCGGUAAGGCCCUUUCGGGGUACGACGAGCGGCGAACGGGUGAGUAACACGUGGGUGACCUGCCCUCAGCUCUGGGAGUAAGCCCGGGAAACUGGGUCUAAUACCGGAUAUGACUCCAUGACGCAUGUUGUGGGGUGGAAAGCCUUGUGCGGCUGAGGAUGGGCCCGCGGCCUAUCAGCUUGUUGGUGGGGUGAUGGCCACCAAGGCGACGACGGGUAGCCGGCCUGAGAGGGCGACCGGCCACACUGGGACUGAGAUACGGCCCAGACUCCUACGGGAGGCAGCAGUGGGGAAUCUUGCGCAAUGGGCGAAAGCCUGACGCAGCGACGCCGCGUGAGGGAUGACGGCCU